UUUCCCUAAACGACGCUACGUCCGAGUGUAUCGGCUGGGCUACCCCCAGCUGCCCAUUCACAAGUGCGAUCCCACUACUGCAGAGCGCGGGAGCUUUUGCCUGCUGCGUUUCCGCCCUGGGCCGGUUCGCUCCUCCUUAGGCGACCUGGACACCCCGGGUUCCCCUGGGGUCUCCAUAUCGACACCCAGCUUAGUGCGGACACCCGA
rnacentral:lncRNA from 1 species